UACGUAGGGGGCGAGCGUUGUCCGGAAUUACUGGGCGUAAAGGGUGCGUAGGCGGUGAGAUAAGAUAGAUGUGAAAUCCCCGGGCUUAACUCGGGUAUUGCAUUUGUGACUGUCUUGCUAGAGUGCAGGAGAGGAAAGCGGAAUUCCUAGUGUAGCGGUGAAAUGCGUAGAUAUUAGGAGGAACACCGGUGGCGAAGGCGGCUUUCUGGACUGUAACUGACGCUGAAGCACGAAAGCGCGGGGAGCAAACAGGAUUAGAUACCCUGGUAGUCCACGCUGUAAACGAUGGAUACUAGGUGUAGGGCCCGAAUUGGGUUCUGUGCCGCAGUUAACGCAGUAAGUAUCCCGCCUGGGGAGUACGACCGCAAGGUUGAA
rnacentral:rRNA from 1 species